CGCAGGGGUGCUGAUUGCUGAGACGCUCCUCCUCCCGAACCGCAUCGAUUCCGGGAGGGAGGGCGAACCCUUAACCUGAUCCGGGUAAUGCCGGCGUAGGGAGCACAA
rnacentral:ncRNA from 1 species